GUGGGGAAUAUUGGACAAUGGGCGCAAGCCUGAUCCAGCCAUGCCGCGUGUGUGAAGAAGGCCUUCGGGUUGUAAAGCACUUUCAGUGGGGAGGAAGGGUGUUGUGUUAAUAGCACAGCAUUUUGACGUUACCCACAGAAGAAGCACCGGCUAACUCCGUGCCAGCAGCCGCGGUAAUACGGAGGGUGCAAGCGUUAAUCGGAAUUACUGGGCGUAAAGCGCACGCAGGCGGCUUUUUAAGUCGGAUGUGAAAGCCCCGGGCUCAACCUGGGAAUUGCAUCUGAUACUGGGAAGCUAGAGUAUGUGAGAGGGGGGUAGAAUUCCAAGUGUAGCGGUGAAAUGCGUAGAGAUUUGGAGGAAUACCAGUGGCGAAGGCGGCCCCCUGGCACAAUACUGACGCUCAGGUGCGAAAGCGUGGGGAGCAAACAGGAUUAGAUACCCCAGUAGUCC
rnacentral:rRNA from 1 species